rnacentral:rRNA from 1 species
GAGCCUACGGGGGGCAGCAGUGGGGAAUAUUGCGCAAUGGGGGAAACCCUGAUGCAGCGACGCCGCGUGAGUGAAGAAGUAUUUCGGUAUGUAAAGCUCUGUAAGCAGGGAAGAAAAUGACGGUACCUGACCAAGAAGCCCCGGCUAACUACGUGCCAGCAGCCGCGGCAAUACGUAGGGGGCAAGCGUUAUCCGGAUUUACUGGGUGUAAAGGGAGCGUAGACGGCAGGGCAAGUCUGGAGUGAAAGGCGGGGGCUCAACACCCGGACUGCUCUGGAAACUGCCAUGCUGGAGUGCAGGUGAGG